CCCCCCCCCAGGGUCUCCGGAAGUUUAACGUGACUCUAUUUGUCUUUGACCAGGAGUCUCAGAUGAUGAAAAAGAUGAUGAACCAGCUUCUGCUAAGAAACGUAAACUAGACUCUGGGGAGCAGACAAAGAGGAAGAAGUUAUAAGCGGGGCAUGCUGCAUUUGGCCAAAAUGAGAAUUUCGGUGAACUUGGAUUCUGCUGCUGGAAUGAGAAACAAAUACAUGUUUACCAAAUUUCUCUCUCCUAUCGGACUCUACAGUCACUCCUUGCUGAUUUCCCAGCUGAUGGGCUACUUCCAUGAUAUAUUCCCCAUCUUCCUGCUCUGCCAGUUUGGAAAGGAUUCAAACAACGGUAGUUGUACACAGCUCCGGGUGCCCCAUGCACAAGAUUUCUUUCUUUUAGCACAAACCCAAAUAUCUAACCCCCUCAUCAUAGCGAGCCCCAAGACUAGAGAGGGUGUCAUAGGCAAAGCUUAUGAAGUUAGAUGCCACAUCUGUUCACGGUCUCUUGAAAUGUUCCUUCCUUCAGGAAGUGCCAGGACCAGAAUAAGCUGCCCUCUAGGUUGCAGAGGGAAACCUCUCAAUCCCUUAGUAAUGAUCCUGCUUAGUUCCAGGUGGAAUCAAGAUCUCUUCAUGGCAGUCGUAUUUAUCCAUUAA
rnacentral:lncRNA from 1 species